UCCCAAAGGAUAGCUCAGUCAGUAGAGCACAAGACUCUUAAUCGUAGGGUCAUGGGUUCAAGCCCCACGUUGGGCA
rnacentral:tRNA from 1 species